rnacentral:rRNA from 1 species
AUUGAACGCUGGCGGCAGGCCUAACACAUGCAAGUCGAACGAGUGGCGGACGGGUGAGUAAUGUCUGGGAAACUGCCCGAUGGAGGGGGAUACCUACUGGAAACGGUAGCUAAUACCGCAUACCAUCGGAUGUGCCCAGAUGGGAUUAGUUAGGAGGUGGGGUAACGGCUCACCUAGGCGACGAGCUCUAGCUGGUCUGAGAGGAUGACCAACCACACUAGAAGUGAGACACGGUCCAGACUCCUACGGGAGGCAGCAGUGGGGAAUAUUGCACAAUGGGCGAAAGCCUGAUGCAGCCAUGCCGCGUGUAUGAAGAAGGCCUUCGGGUUGAAAAGUACUUUCAGCGAGGAGGCGGUACUCGCAGAAGAAGCACCGGCUAACUCCGUGCCAGCAGCCGCGGUAAUUC